UAAAAAGUAUGGGUUCACAAUUUUAGGAAGUCAGAAUGGAUGUAAGAGACUAGAAAACCAAAGGAAAAAAAAAUAGAAGAGUAUGAACUUCUUCACACCUUAAACUUUGAUUCCAUCCACCAAUGUCUGAGGGUAAUGGUGAAAACUCAAGGAGGAAACAUACUUCCUUUGUUUUUUUUAAAGGAGCAGAUUCAGCAGUUUUUCCCAGGGUUAAAAAAAAAAAAACAUGAAAUUGAGCUUUAGCUCAUGUGGAAUGUAAUGCAAUGGAUGGGUAUAAGACACUGUGUGUGGCCUUCAAAGAAAUUACUCCAGAUGACUAUGAAAUAAUUAAGACAGUUUAUGGAGGCAAAUAUGGCCUUAUAAGACAGAGAAAAAAGACAGAAAAGGUUUUUGAUUAUAUUGAGACAAACAUGAAUUUAAUUUGAGCCACUGCAGUGGAAGACAAGCUACAAGAUCAAGCUGCAGAGACCAGUGAAACUCUGCAUGCAGUCGGCCUGAAAGUCUGGGUGCUUACUGGGGCCAAGAUGGAGAGAGCCAAAUCCACAUGCUAUGCCUGUUACCUUUUCCAAACUUGCACUGAGCUCUUAGAAUUGACCACAAAAUCUCUUGAAGAACGUGAAAGGAAAGAAGAUCGAUUCCAUGAAUUGUUGUUAGAAUAUCGGAAGAAGUUGCUGCAUGAAUUUUCUAAAAGUACUAGAAGCCUUAAAAAAGCAUAGACAGAACAUCAAGAAUAUGGAUUAAUCAUUGAUGAUUCCACAUUCUCAUUCAUACUAAAUUCUAGUCAGGACUCUAGUUCAAACAAUUAUGAAAGCAUUUUCCUACAAAUUUGUAUGAAGUGCAUUGCAGUGCUUUGCUGCUGGAAGGCACUGUUAGAGAAAGCCCAGAUUGUCAGAAUGGUGAAGAAUUAAAAGGCAGCCCAAUAACACUGUCCAUCAGUGAUGGUGCCAACAAUGUUAGCAUGAUCUUGGAAUCCCAUGUGGGCAUAGGUAUUAAAGGCAAAGAAGGUAGCCGAGCAGCCAGGAACAGCGAUUAUUCUGUUCCCAGGUUUAAACAUUUAAAGAAACUAUUAUUGGCUCACGGAUAUCUAUACUAUGUGAGAAUAGCACAUCUUGUAC
rnacentral:lncRNA from 1 species